UUGAUCAGAAUGAGCAGUCCUCGUAUGAACUUGCAAUCAAGUAUUUUGAUAAUCGAGUGACGAAUGACACCUUACAUGUUCAUCUACUAGAAAAAAAAUACGAGGAGUUGGAGUUUGAAAAUAAUGAGGAUGCUGUGAAGAUCACAUUAGUCUACUACACGGAGGUUGCAAUGAUGGAAAAGAACAAACGGAAAAAUGCAAUGGACCUUAAAAGUUUUAAAGACAUUCAAAACAUAGAAUACUACAAUAGUCUAGACUGAGGUACCAUUAUUUGGGAGAGGACACUCGAUGCCCUAAAGAAUGCAUUGAAUGAUAAGAGUAGUCUAUACAAAAUGAAGGUGAAGGGAAAUAAAAAUAACGUCGUGAAGUACUCUUUGUGUGGAUUUCCGGCGUUCCAGCAUCAAUAGCUGGGAACAUUGCGGAGCGAAGGAGCAAGGUGGUUUUGUCUUGCAUAUUACAAUGGUCAUGCUCCCACUCAGUGUCCUUCAAAGUAAUCAAGAGAGACAUAUUCGAGUAAAACAAUGAUUUCAACAAAGAUUCUAAGUAUCGCAAGUAACGUCAACGCAUGGACAUGCGUCGGAGGGAUUUCAAAGCAACAAAGAUUCAUUGACUCAAGCUGUUUGUGUCAAAUCACCACUUGCAAGCAUGGGC